rnacentral:tRNA from 1 species
GCCGCCGUGGUCGACGACGCCGGCACCGACCACGGCGAGACCGUGGCCGGCCGGUUCCACAUCGGCCGGCGGCAC